UCUCUCCCCUAUUCUCCCGGCUCCCUCUCUCUUUUGCGCCCGACUCUCUCUCCCUCCGACCCCUCGUCCGACGCACCAUAAUGCCCAACCAACGGACCAUUGUGCAGCCCCUCCGGCUUCGGCAGAAGGCUUGGUGAUGCACGAUCUCAACUCUGCCCUCUCUCUACUUUCGAGUCACGACCGAGCCCUAACCGCGUGGCCUCCAUCUCCGCCUUCAUCAAAUCGCGACGAAUUCAGAGAUUUACAUUCACGACGCUGCCUCGUUGCCUCCACCUCGGCCUCGAAAGGCACGAUUAGGGUUACGAGGCUCCUGAGCUGAGAGCAUGCAUUUGAAAGGUCUACCUCUCGGUUCACCUUUGGGGUAAAGGCAUGUCGGCCACUGGGGCUGCAGGAUUUUGUUGGGGAGGAAAGGCACUAGCGAAAUUAGCAGGCAUUGAAGACAUUCGAGCAGUAGUUAUUCAGCACCCUGGUCGUAUGAUUGAAGAUGAAAUCGAAGGUAAAAUUAUGCCAGUGAACAUGGAAUUAUGUGAAAAUGUUCUCGUCAGUUAUUCCUCUCUCUAGUUAUUUCUACACUUCCAUUAAUUCAGAGACCUUGAUUUUG